rnacentral:lncRNA from 1 species
CAGGUCUCCUUCCAACAGCCUCAACAACAAUAACCAUCAGGCCAGGGCUCCUUCCAGCCAUCUCAGCAAAACCCACAGGCCCAGGGCUCUGUCCAGCCUCAACAACUGCCCCAGUUUGAGGAAAUAAGGAACCUAGCGCUAGAGACGCUACCUGCAAUGUGCAAUGUCUAUAUCCCUCCAUAUUGCACCAUUGCUCCAGUUGGCAUCUUCGGUACUAACUGAGAAGAGAAGAACUCUAGUAGUAGAUAUAUGAUACACCGUUUUCUUAGUCCAUGGUUUGGUCGUUGUAGCGGUGAAAAAAUAAAGUGACAUGCACUAUCAUGUAAGAACCCGAACUAUACUAGUUCAAACAUGGGAAUAAAAGACAAACACAUGUCUUGUCUACAUAUGAUUGUUUGUUUGAGUUCCACUCAUGUGCCCACUCACAAGUUCACCCCUAAUUAUAUAUAUUAUGCAUUAAGUAGAUAUUUAUGUUGCAUUAAUCUAAAGAUAACAAAAUGAGUCUGAAAUUUGAAUUAAAUUGAAGUAUUUCCUUGGACUUUCAAAUGGAGUAUUAUUAAAGUAGUAAGGACUAUCCACAUCCUUGGCUUGCCCUUGAUCAAUUAUUUCCAGAGAAGCAUUCAAUUCAUUAAUCAAUUACAUUGAUUUUUGUGGCUGAUACUUUUCCUCAACAUGAGUAUAUUCAUCGCGGCUACUCCAAAUAGGCAUGAAUGAGGUACCGGUGCUCUGGAGCACUGGUACCUAACUGCUUCUCAUGUGAAGGGGUGGGGGUGCGGGAGAGGUGUUUUUGGUGGGCCAGGGGAGUAAGAAGCGGCCGUGGCAGCGGUCCAGACACCCACAAAGCCCCGUAGUUUGUUUUUGGUUUACAGGAAAAUGCACAUCCAGACCGGCCUGCGGGCCGAUAUAGGACCGUAUUGAAUGGCAAAACAUGUCCGGAUGGUUGCGAGCGGUUUAAGGGUUAGCUUUUGUAACGGCCGGUUAGUUAUGCUAUGGUAAUUCCCUGCUAAUGAUGUCACGUCAGCACGAUUACUGUUGUUAACCUCACAAUGAUUCAAUCCCAUUCAAAUUCAAAUUUAAAAUAAAGGCAAACAUCAAAAGUUUCAAACAUUAAAACUAAAAUCUUCGAGAGGUGAAAAAUAAUGCAUAAGUAAUUAUGGUGGAGAAACCACACUUUUAUAAAAUGUUUAAAUACUCUAAAAAUAAUAAAACAGUGGCUUAAACUAUUAUUUAAAUGCUUUUAAAAUAGUAAAAAUGUUCUAACUAAAUUAAUUGGGUACCAAACUUUUGGUGGCAGUGGUAUAUUUAGUAGAACUAAUUUAGAUGCUAAUAAAACAUAAAAGGAAAGACAAAACAAAUAAAAGUAAAAGGGGGCAACCCCUCGCUGGGCCUCGGCCAAGCUGGCCACUGGGCUAGCUAGGUUGGCCCAACCGCCUCCCUUAACCCCCCACUCCCCAUCGAACCCUAGACCGAUCGCCCCACUUCCCCACACCCCCUCGUCAGCCUCCCCACCUCUCGAUCCCAUCUGGAUCGGGGAGGGGAUCGCCCCCAUCGACCCCGUCGCGGUCGCUGGAUCGCCCGCUCGCCCAUCGCCCGCCGGCGUCGCCGGACCUCCUCCCCGUCGCACGUCUCCGGCUCUCCUCCCCUCUCGCUCCUCUUCCCCGACCCGAUCUGGAUCGGGAAGGGCCAAUGAGCCCAACGCCCCCCUCCAUCGACGCUGUGCUCCAGCACCGCCGCCCGAAGACCUCGCCAUCGCCGGACCUCGCGUCGCCUCCUCGUAUCCCUCCCCGACUCGCCUCCUCAAGCCACGCCGACCCCCUUCUCGGCAACGCUGUGAGCCGCCUCCGUUUCCCUCCUUCUCUUUCCACCGUGUUCACCGCGCCGCCUGCCGUGCCCCUCGCCGCGCGCACGCCCACCACCGCGCCAGCCCCCGCUCCGCGCCCUCUCCUGCACGCUUGUGCGCGCAUGACCCUAGCCGCGCCCACGCCGUGAUCCCCUUGUCCCGCCCGCCUUCGUCCCGCGCUCGCCGCGGCCCCCAUGCUCCCCUGCGCCCUCUUUUGGGGUCGUCGGCUGCCCCUGUCCCGCAGCUCGCUGGCAUGCGUCCCCGCCCGCGCCUCGCCACUGCUCUACUGCUACGCUACUAUUGCGCUGUGGCCGCCGCCGCUUCCCGCUGCUCUGCCAGCGCCAAAGGUCCCGGUUGGCCCUGCCGCUGCUCGCGUUUAACCGCCGGCCUAAGCGGCCUAACCUCCCCCCUCACUAAUGAACCCCCACCGACCGGCUGACACCGGGACCCACAUCCCCUAAUUAACCAUUUAAUAAAUUAAAACUCUUAAAUUAACAUUAGUGUAUGACAUGUGGGUCCCCUAUUAAUUAAACUGAUUUAAUUAAAAUCUAUUAACUUUGAGUCUAUGACAUAUGGGCCCCACUAAACAUUUGACCAAUCAACGGUCCAGUCAAAUGCUGACCGGACAGUUGACCAGAGGGCCCCGCCAGUCAGCCAAUG